rnacentral:tRNA from 1 species
GGGCCCUUGGUGUAACUUGGACAGCACUCGGCGCCUGGGACGCCGCGAUGCCCGUUCGAAUCGGGUGGGGCCCA